GUGGGUACAGCUCAGUGGUAGAGCACAUGCUUAGCAUGGAUGAGGUCCUGAGUUCAAUCCCCAGUAUCUCCA
rnacentral:tRNA from 1 species